rnacentral:rRNA from 1 species
AACGUUGAAAAGUUUUCGGAUGACCUGUGGGUAGGGGUGAAAGGCUAAUCAAACUGGGAAAUAGCUCGUACUCUCCGAAAUGUAUUUUGGUACAGCCUCGAGGUUGAGUAUUACAGAGGUAGAGCUACCGAUAGGACUAGGGGGCUUCACCGCCUACCAAAUCCUGACGAACUCCGAAUGCUGUAAUAUAUACUCGGGAGUGAGCCCAUGGGUGCUAAGGUCCGUGGGCGAGAGGGAAAGAACCCAGACCAUCAGCUAAGGUCCCUAAAUGUAUGCUAAGUUGAUAAAACGUGGUGUGAUUGCACUGACAGCUAGGAUGUUUGCUUGGAAGCAGCCAUUCAUUUAAAGAGUGCGUAACAGCUCACUAGUCGAGCGAUCAUGCGUGGAUAAUAAUCGGGCAUAAAGCAUACUACCGAAGCUAUGGACUCAGUAAUGAGUGGUAGGAGAGCAUUCUUGCGGUGUCGAAGGUGUAGCGUGAGCUAUGCUGGAACUUCAAGAAAAGCAAAUGUAGGUAUAAGUAACGAUAAUGCGGGUGAAAAACCCGCACACCGAUAGACUAAGGUUUCCUGAUCAACGCUAAUCGGAUCAGGGUUAGUCGGGGCCUAAGGCGAAACCGAAGGGUGUAGUCGAUGGACAACAGGUUAAUAUUCCUGUACAAGCAAUUAUUGCGACGGGGUGACGGAGUAGUGAAAGAUUCGCGUACUGACGGAAUAGUACGUUAAAAGGUGUAGAUAUAUCUUGUGUAGGAAAAUCCGCACGGGAUGUCGAACCCGAUAGUACCUCAAAGCUUCGGCUGAGGGGAUAGUAAUCCUAAACAUGCUUCCAAGAAAAACCUCUAAGCUUCAGAUAGUUGCUUCCCGUACCGCAAACCGACACAGGUAGUCAAGGAGAGAAUCCUAAGGUGCUAGAGUGAAUCACGGUUAAGGAACUCGGCAAAUUGGCCCCGUAACUUAGGGAUAAGGGGCGCUUCCCUCGCAAGAGGAAGCCGCAGUGAAAAGGCUCAGGCGACUGUUUAUCAAAAACACAGGACUCUGCUAAAUCGAAAGAUGAUGUAUAGGGUCUGACACCUGCCCGGUGCUGGAAGGUUAAGAGGAGAGGUUAGUCGUAAGGCGAAGCUUUGAAUUGAAGCCCCAGUAAACGGCGGCCGUAACUAUAACGGUCCUAAGGUAGCGAAAUUCCUUGUCGGGUAAGUUCCGACCUGCACGAAUGGUGUAACGAUCUGGGCGCUGUCUCAGCCAUGAGCUCGGUGAAAUUGUAGUCACGGUGAAGAUGCCGUGUACCCGCAACGGGACGGAAAGACCCCGUGCACCUUUACUAUAGCUUCACAUUGGUAUUGGGAGAAUGAUGUGUAGGAUAGGCGGGAGGCAAUGAUCCGUGGCCGCUAGGUUACGGGGAGUCAAUGGUGAAAUACCGCCCUUUAUUUUCUUGAUGCCUAAUCCGCCAAAAGGCGGAGACAUUGUGUGGUGGGUAGUUUGACUGGGGUGGUCGCCUCCAAAAAAGUAUCGGAGGCUUUCAAAGGUACCCUCAGCACGCUUGGUAACCGUGCGUGGAGUGCAAUAGCAUAAGGGUGCUUGACAGUGAGACAUACAGGUCGAUCUGGUACGAAAGUAGGAUAUAGUGAUCCGGCGGUUCUGCAUGGAAGGGCCGUCGCUCAAAGGAUAAAAGGUACGCCGGGGAUAACAGGCUGAUCUCCCCCAAGAGC